rnacentral:rRNA from 1 species
AUUGAACGCUGGCGGCAGGCCUAACACAUGCAAGUCGAGCGGAUGAAGGGAGCUUGCUCCUGGAUUCAGCGGCGGACGGGUGAGUAAUGCCUAGGAAUCUGCCUGGUAGUGGGGGAUAACGUCCGGAAACGGGCGCUAAUACCGCAUACGUCCUGAGGGAGAAAGUGGGGGAUCUUCGGACCUCACGCUAUCAGAUGAGCCUAGGUCGGAUUAGCUAGUUGGUGGGGUAAAGGCCUACCAAGGCGACGAUCCGUAACUUGUUUGAGAGGAUGAUCAGUCACACUGGAACUGAGACACGGUCCAGACUCCUACGGGAGGCAGCAGUGGGGAAUAUUGGACAAUGGGCGAAAGCCUGAUCCAGCCAUGCCGCGUGUGUGAAGAAGGUCUUCGGAUUGUAAAGCACUUUAAGUUGGGAGGAAGGGCAGUAAGUUAAUACCUUGCUGUUUUGACGUUACCAACAGAAUAAGCACCGGCUAACUUCGUG